UAGGGAAUAUUGGGCAAUGGAGGGAACUCUGACCCAGCCAUGCCGCGUGCAGGAUGAAGGCGUUAUGCGUUGUAAACUGCUUUUUAUAUAGGAAGAAAUAGUCCUUGCGAGGAAAGUUGACGGUACUAUAUGAAUAAGCCACGGCUAACUACGUGCCAGCAGCCGCGGUAAUACGUAGGUGGCAAGCGUUGUCCGGAUUUAUUGGGUUUAAAGGGUGCGUAGGUGGCCCUGUAAGUCAGUGGUGAAAUAUCUCAGCUUAACUGAGAGGGUGCCAUUGAUACUGCAGGGCUUGAGUACAGAUGAGGUAGGCGGAAUUGACGGUGUAGCGGUGAAAUGCAUAGAUAUCGUCAAGAACACCGAUAGCGAAGGCAGCUUACCAAGCUGUAACUGACACUGAGGCACGAAAGUGUGGGGAUCAAACAGGAUUAGAUACCCGCGUAGUCCCUGAGCGGGCUGGCAAGGCGCAU
rnacentral:rRNA from 1 species